ACCUCACAAAGAUAAUAAAUAAACGACCAAGGCUUUUCAAAGAUGGAAGUCAUAGUCUGGUGAGUGUUAGAAAAAGGGUGUGCUUUCAUUCUUAUCUCUUGCAACAGUAGCGAGUGUGAGCAUUCUCUGGUCAGAUUCAAGCAAGGGAACACAUUCAUCUUUCUGGAGUAAUAAACGUUUCAGAGUUUCUUUGAAAAUGGAUGACCUUUCUCUCUCGCCAAUUCUCUCUCUGCAUAUUAGUUAAAUCAGGGAUUUCACCAACCACCAUCCUCCUCCCCCAAUCCUUUUGUGCAGCUACCAUUAACAUCGUUCGGCCACCAUCUUCAUCACUCCCACAACACAACCAUUGUUUCUGAAAAUUAGGGAUUUUGUUUGAGAGUUUAGGGUUUACUAAACAUCCAUCAAUGGUGAAAGGGGAAGUUGAUGGUCGUCGUGCCUCAACCGUGAGCCGCCUUGAGGACACCAUCACCAGACCACCACCGCGCCUCAACUUACACGUGCCACCACAACCACCAACCAUGGCCACCAUGCACAAACCGCAAAGACGAGAGAGACUUCUAAUUGCAAAACCCAGUUAGAGAAUCAUCAUCUUCUUCAUUCAUCACCAUUGCUCCCACCGUGAAUCCAAAUCACAAGCCACCCAAAGUCAGCAUAUAUUUAAGAUUUAGGGAAGGAAAAAGCAAAACUUGACCGACUUCCUUUGAAAAAAUUUUAGAGUCAUUUGCCAUAGUUUUGAAAUGAUGUUUUUUUUUAAAAGAAAGAAAUGAGAACAGAGAGGUAUUGUCAAGCAUGUGAUCAAAAGCACCUAAGUCAAGUAUCCAUGAAUUUUGACCUUCCAUUGAUUGACAAAUGUAAGUUGUUGAUGUAUAUGGAGUUUCGGAUGUUUGUGCCAAGCUAUUAGAUUUUGACCUUAGAUACUCUUGUUAUUCUUCAUUAGUGAAUUUGGAGUCGGUAAUUUCUGCCUUAGAGACAUGGGUGGUCUUGGUAGGAAAACCAUGCUAGGAGAAACAAUUUUCUUAGGAGCGAUCUUUUAACAGUGUGUGUAUUGAUUACAUCCUUGUCCUCCACAUCCUCUUCCUCGUGUGACAACACCAUAACAGACGGUUUCACAAGUUCAUGAACUUCCUUGCUUUAAGGUGUUGGAACUCUAAGGAGACUUGUUGUCAAACUUUCCAUGGAAAGGAUCUCAUGAUUGGUUAAUAGUUGAUCUUUACGAUAAUCAAAGUCUAGAUGUAGAGCAUAAAUGAUCAUCACCAUAUAGUAUUUGUCAAAUUUCUUUUUUAUUUCAUCCAAAGACUCUACUUCCAAAACCAUCUUUAGUUCUUCAAUUGUGGACUAAGCUUCAGUCAUGAAGAAUACCAUGUAAUGGUCAGUUUGUUAAAGGGAUGCAAGUUUAUUUACAAAGUUAGAAACAUUGGAUAUCAUUUGCAUAAAUAUUUUGAACUAUCUUCCAAAAGAAGAGACACAUUUUAAAAGUUCUAAGUGAAACCAAAAGCUUCGGUUCCACAUAUUGGCACAACACGACACACAAUUGAAAAUCAACUUGCUUUCAUUAUUCAACCUUCUUAAGAGGUAUGUUGCUUUCCAUCUUGGUCAAGGUGGUCAUGAUGACCUUGGUUAAGGAUUUAUAUUUCAAUAAUACCGACUGCGAGAGAUAAUUUUUUUCAUUUAGUUUUUCAAUAGUAAUGGUAGUGUUUCAGUUGAAAUUGUCUUAGGGUCGGUAGUCUUUCUUGCUCUACUGUCUUUUGAUAUUCAAUUCUCUCCGAGAACGCGAUCCACUCCAAUGGGUUGUUGACCUACAGAAGACACUCCGACGCUCAAGUCAGAUAUGUUUCAUAAAGAGGUCUAUAUUUUAUUAGGAUAGAAAAGGAUCAUUGUACCUAGACAUCAGUUGUCUACUUAUAAGGCUUGUGAUAGCCACGUCCAUUGAUUAACCAUUAGUGUAAUAUAUUUUAGGUAAUCAAACCCAAUAAUUAAUAAUUAAUGUCGUAUAUUUGUAGAACGUAAGAUAAUCUGACUUAUUAGUACCUGCUUAAUGACAAUUAAUUCUGAUAGGUAUACUUCAUAUAGUACAUAAACCCCCCAAGUCCGAGCAAGCUCUUUAUUAAAAGAGGUGCGUAGGAAUUAUUAUGAGCUUUAAAAGAGGUUGCUCACGUUGCAUUUAGGGAGUCUAUCUUUCAUGCUUUAAGUCUUCAUUGCUUUAUGUACCGAGCGGCGAACUCUAGGAGUUCUCUUUGGAUCUAAUCCUUAGACUGAACAGAAAAUGCUAAGAGUUCUCUUUCAAACCUUUUCCUCUGCAAGAGAUUUUCACUCCAAAAAAUAUGAUUUUAAAUAAAGUAAACGCUUCAAUAUUUAUUUUAUAAUGAAAAGACAUUGGAACCUGACAUAGCUCAACCUGUUGAGUAGUUGACUGAUAAGAGUUCUUUUUCGAACUUCCUACGUUGAGAGGGGAUUUCGGAAGCCAUUUUUCUGACUUCCCCCGAGCGGUCCUGAGGCAGGAGUCAUUUUUCUGACUUCCUGCGUUGAGCGGGGAUUUCUGAAACCAUUUUUCUCACUUCCCCCGAGCGGUUUGAGGCAGGAGUCAUUUUUCUGACUUCCUGCGUUGAGCGGGGAUUUCUGAAGCCAUUUUUCUCACUUUCCCCGAGAGGCUUGAGGUGUGAGUCAUUUUUCUGACUUCCUGCGUUGAGCGGGAAUUUCUGAAGCCAUUUUUCUGACUUCUCUCGAGCGGUCAUGAGGCAGGAGUCAUCUUUCUGACUUCGUGCGUUGAGUAGGGAUUUCUGAAGCCAUUUUGCUGACUUCCCCCAAGCGGCUUGAGGCAGGAGUCAUUUUUCUGACUUCCUGUGUUGAGCGGGGAUUUCUAAAGCCAUUUUUCUGACUUCCCCUGAGCGGUCAUGAGGCAAGAGUCAUUUUUCUGAAUUCAUGCGUUAAGCGGGGAUUUCUGAAGUCAUUUUUCUGACUUCCCCUGAGCGGUCUUGAGGUAGAAGUCAUUUUCCUAACUUCCUACAUUGAGCGGGAUUUCUGAAGUCAUUUUUCUGACUUCCCCCGAGCGGCCAUUAUAACCUGACCAAGUUGAGGUCUGAACCUUCCUGCACAUAAUAUUUUAUAAUUUAAAAUUAAAAGUCGUUAGAACCUAACAAGGUUGAACGCAGCUCUGAACCAUCCUAUGCAUAAUAUUUUAUAAUUUAAAAUUAAGAGUCGAUAGAACCUGACAAGGUUGAAUGCAGCUCUGAACCAUCAUGUGCAUAAUAUUUUAUAAUUUAAAAUUAAGAGUUGGUAGAACCUGACAAGGUUAAACUCAGCUUUGAACCAUCCUGUGCAUAUUAUUUUAUAAUUUAAAAUUAAGAGUCGUUAGAACAUGACAAGGUUGAACGCAGCUCUGAACCGUCUUUUGCAUAACAUUUUAUAACUUAAAAUUAAGAGUUGGUAGAACCUGACAAGGUUGAACGCAACUCUGAACCAUCCUAUGCAUAAUAUUUUAUAAUUUAAAAUUAGGAGUCAGUAGAACCUGACAAGGUUGAACACAACUCUGUACCUUCCU